rnacentral:rRNA from 1 species
AUUGAACGCUGGCGGCAUGCCUUACACAUGCAAGUCGAACGGCAGCAUGGGUGCUUGCACCUGAUGGCGAGUGGCGAACGGGUGAGUAAUGCAUCGGAACGUACCCGGAAGUGGGGGAUAACGUAGCGAAAGUUAAGCUAAUACCGCAUAUAUCGUGAGCAGGAAAGUGGGGGAUCGCACGACCACGCGCUUCCGGAGCGGCCGAUGUCGGUGUGGCUAGUUGGCGGGGUAAAGGCCCACCAAGGCAACGAUCCGUAGCGGGUCUGGGAGGAUGAUCCGCCACACUGGGACUGCGACACGGCCCAGACUCCUACGGGAGGCAGCAGUGGGGAAUUUUGGACAAUGGGGGCAACCCUGAUCCAGCCAUGCCGCGUGAGUGAAGAAGGCCUUCGGGUUGUAAAGCUCUUUCGGCCGGGAAGAAAUCGCACAGGUUAAUACCUUGUGUGGAUGACGGUACCGGAAUAAGAAGCACCGGCUAACUACGUGCCAGCAGCCGCGGUAACAC